ensembl:lncRNA
GGAAAUAGGAGGACUGGACUUACCGCAGGGGGAAAUAGGAGGACUGGACUGGAGGGGCGGAAAUAGGAGGACUGGACUUACUGCAGAGGGGGAAAUAGGAGGACGACUUACUGCAGGGAGGGAAAUAGGAGGACUGGACUUACUGCAGAGGGGGAAAUAGGAGGACUUGACUUACUGCAGGGAGGGAAAUAGGGUAAGGACUGGACUUACUGCAGGGAGGGAAAUAGGGUAAGGACUGGACUCACUGCAGGGAGGACUGAAAGGACAACAGGACACAGACAGACACACUCGCAAGCACACACACACACACACAGACUCACGCUGGACAUUCAGUGCAUUCUGAAAGUAUUCAGACCCCUUUCCUUUUUCCACAUGUUACGAAUAACAGCCUUUUUCUAAAAUGGAUGAGAUAAAAACGAGUCCUCAUCCAUCUCCACACAAUACUCC